rnacentral:tRNA from 1 species
GGGUGCAUAGUUUAGUGGUAAAAUGGUCGGCUCCAGACCGACAGCUGGGGGUUCGAUUCCUCCUGCGCCCA